rnacentral:rRNA from 1 species
GCAAGUCGAGGGGUAACAGAGUAGCUUGCUACUGCUGACGACCGGCGAACGGGUGCGUAACGCGUAUAGAAUCUGCCUUGUACAGGAGGAUAGCCUUUAGAAAUGAAGAUUAAUACUCCAUAAUGUAGUGAUUCGGCAUCGAAACACUAUUAAACAUUUAUGGGUACAAGAUGACUAUGCGUCCUAUUAGCUAGAUGGUAAGGUAAUGGCUUACCAUGGCAACGAUAGGUAGGGGGUCUGAGAGGAUUAUC